rnacentral:ncRNA from 1 species
AUUCUCAGGGCGGGGCGGAAUUCCCCACCGGUGGUAAGCGAAAGUAAGCCCACGAGCGUUCGUAUUUUUACGAAGUCAGCAGAUUUGGUGAAAAUCCAAAGCCGACAGUUAUAGUCUGGAUGGUAGAGAAU